rnacentral:rRNA from 1 species
GGCUUAGAAGCAGCCAUCAUUUAAAGAGUGCGUAAUAGCUCACUAGUCGAGUGACACUGCGCCGAAAAUGUACCGGGGCUAAACAUAUUACCGAAGCUGUGGAUUGUCCUUUGGACAAUGGUAGGAGAGCGUUCUAAGGGCGUUGAAGCAUGAUCGUAAGGACAUGUGGAGCGCUUAGAAGUGAGAAUGCCGGUGUGAGUAGCGAAAGACGGGUGAGAAUCCCGUCCACCGAUUGACUAAGGUUUCCAGAGGAAGGCUCGUCCGCUCUGGGUUAGUCGGGUCCUAAGCUGAGGCCGACAGGCGUAGGCGAUGGAUAACAGGUUGAUAUUCCUGUACCACCUAU